UUCGUGUGAACAGUGGUUGAUCACGAGUUAGUCGGUCCUAAGUUCAAGGCGAAAGCCGAAAAUUUUCAAGUAAAAUGAAAAACAAAUAAAUGCCAAAUAUAAAUUAUAUAUGUCAGAAAAAUAAAACACUUGAAUAAUUUUGAACGAAAGGGAAUACGGUUCCAAUUCCGUAACCUGUUGAGUAUCCGUUUGUUAUUAAAUAUGGGCCUCGUGCUCAUCCUGGCAACAGGAACGACCAUAAAGAAGCCGUCGAGAGAUAUCGGAAGAGUUUUCUUUUCUGUUUUAUAGCCGUACUACCAUGGAAGUCUUUCGCAGAGAGAUAUGGUAGAUGGGCUAGAAGAGCAUGACAUAUACUGUUGUGUCGAUAUUUUCUCCUCGGACCUUGAAAAUUUAUGGUGGGGAUACGCAAACUUCUCAACAGGCCGUACCAAUAUCCGCAGCUGGUCUCCAAGGUGAAGAGUCUCUAGUCGAUAGAAUA
rnacentral:rRNA from 1 species